rnacentral:rRNA from 1 species
UUGAACGCUGGCGGCAUGCCUUACACAUGCGAGUCGAGCGGCAGCGCGGGGGCAACCCUGGCGGCGAGCGGCGAACGGGUGAGUAAUACAUCGGAACGUGUCCAGUAGUGGGGGAUAACCAGUCGAAAGACUGGCUAAUACCGCAUACGAUCCACGGAUGAAAGCGGGGGACCGCAAGGCCUCGCGCUGUUGGAGCGGCCGAUGUCGGAUUAGCUUGUUGGCGGGGUAAAAGCCCACCAAGGCGACGAUCCGUAGCUGGUCUGAGAGGACGACCAGCCACACUGGAACUGAGACACGGUCCAGACUCCUACGGGAGGCAGCAGUGGGGAAUUUUGGACAAUGGGCGCAAGCCUGAUCCAGCCAUGCCGCGUGAGUGAAGAAGGCCUUCGGGUUGUAAAGCUCUUUCGGCGGGGACGAAACGGUCCGUGCCAACACCACGGACUAAUGACGGUACUCGCAGAAGAAGCACCGGCUAACUACGU